rnacentral:misc_RNA from 1 species
AAGUCAUAACAAGGUCUCCGUUGGUGAACCAGCGGAGGGAUCAUUGCUGGGAGCGCCGCAAGGUGCACCCAGAAACCCUUUGUGAACUUAUACCUACAUCGUUGCCUCGGCGUUGGCUGCCUCUCCCCUCGGGGAAGGGGGCCCCUGCUCCUCUGGUCGUCAAACACCUGGGAGAAGGACAGCAGGCCCGCGGUGGCCCAUUAAACUCUUGUAUUUACCGAGUAACAUCUGAGUAAAGCUUCUAAAUGAAUCAAAC